GGGGAGGGGACUGCUACAUGGGUGAAUAGGGAUGUUUGAUUGUAAAAGGGGAGAGUUUUUGUUUUGUUUUUUAUAUGAUUUGUAGUGUAGUUUUUUGGCCUUUUAGAAUCUGAAAGUUCCUGAAUACUUAAAAUGAAGGGUUCUUUUUGUGAUCACAUGUUUAUUACACUCUUUUUUUCUUCUUUUGCAUCCUAUUGAUCUUACGCUGUUGGAAUAAUUAUUAACCUUCAAAAAAAAAAAAUUAUCUGAGUUUCCUGUCAUUUUCUUAAAAGAUAUGGUGCAUUCUGAUCUGGGUUCAGUUAAGAAACUGAGGCCCCACUUGGUUGAUGCCAAAAAAUAAUUUACUUGGAUAAAACAUAUAAAUUAAUAUAUGUUAAUAUAAAUGAAGUUCAGAAGCCAAAAAUGCUACUUUGAGAUAACAGGGGACUCUGUUUUUAUCGCUUUUCAGAACUAUACCAUAAUCUCUGACAUGUAACUUUCUAAAUUCUGAACUAAAGUUUGUGAGGUGUGUAUGGUUGUGGUGCAGUGGUUAUUCUUUGCUUAGGGAUCCCCAGUACAACAAAGGACUUGCUUUCUCUGAGAAAGAGAGGGAUGCUCAUUAUGUGCACAGUCUUCUGCCUCCAAUAAUUUUGUCUCAACAACUUCAGGAGAAGAAAUUGAUGCAAAACAUCUGACAAUAUCAAGUCCCGUUGCAAAAGUACAUUGCCUUGAUGGAGCUUCAAGUAGGACUUAGGAGUUUCAUUGUCGUUUCUCAAUGUUGAUGAGCUUGAGCUUUUACAAGAGUAUGUUGAUCGUGAUAUUCAUAUUAAAGCUAAUAAGGACAAUGUAAUCAUUACUAUCAUGUAAGCUUCUUGAGGAUCAAUAACUAUAUUCUCUCAAACCCACAACCUUCAGAAAAA